AAUAAGACCCCGGGAAAUGAUCCGGGAGGGGGCGGCUCGGCGGUCGGGGCCCGGGACGGGCGGCCUGAGCCCUCAGAGACCCCGGGUUCCGGCCCCUCAGGCCAGGGCUCUGGUCUCAUUCAAAUCGAUCAAUCAUCAAUAAUCAAUAAAACCUCUUGAAAUGUGUAGGGGAGACGGCUCAGAGGUCAGAACCCGGGACGUGCAGCCUGAGUCCCCCAGAGGCCCCGGGUUCCAGCCCUGGCUCCCCCUCAGGCCAGGGCUCUGCUCUCAUUCAAAUCGAUCAGUCAUCAAUAAUCAAUAACCCCCAUGAAAUGUCCAUAGGAGACGGCUCAGUGGUCAGAGCCCAGGACGUGCGGCCUGAGCCCCCCAGAGGCCCCGGGUUCCAGCUCCAGGUCUUCCUCAGGCCAGGGCUCUGUUCUCUCUCUUUCAUGCAAAUCAACCAAUAAUCAAUAAACCCCCAUGAAAUGUCCAGGGAUGACGGCUCAGUGGUCAGAGCCCGGGACGUGCAGCCUGAGCCCCCCAGAGGCCCCGGGUUCCAGGCCCGGCUCCCCCUCAGGCCAGGGCUCUGGUCUCAUUCAAAUCGAUCAAUCAUCAAUAAUCAAUAAACCCCCAUGAAAUGUCCAGGGAUGACGGCUCAGUGGUCAGAGCCCAGGACGUGCAGUCUGAGCCCCCCAGAGGCCCUGGGUUCCAGGUCCAGCUCCCCCUUAGGCCGGGACUCUGGUCUCAUUCAAAUCAAUCAAUCAUCAAUAACCCCCCAUGAAAUGUCCAUAGGAGACGGCUCAGCGGUCAGAGCCCAGGACGUGCAGCCUGAGCCCCCAGAGGCCCCGGGUUCCAGCCCCGGCUCCUCCUUCAGGGCUCUGCUCUCUCAUUCAAAUCAAUCAAUCAUCUAUUAACAGAUGUAUUGAUUAGUGAGAAACACACAGAGAGAGAGAGAGACAAGCAAAGCUCCCCCCACUCUCCGGGGCCCCAGGGGACCCCACGUCCUGGAUGGACACAAACCCCAGCCCAGCGCCCCGUCCCGGGGGUCAGGGGUCAGACUCACCAGGUUGGUCUCGGGGGGCCGCGUCUUGCUCUGUGGAGAGACGUGGGGUUUGGGUCCCUGCACUCUGGGGUGGGCCGUCCCCAUGUCUCUGUGUCCCCAUGUCCCCAGGCCUCUGUGUCCCCAUGUCCCCAGGUCUCUGUGUCCCCAUGUCCCCAGGCCUCUGUGUCCCCAGGCCUCUGUGUCCCUAUGUCCCCAUUGCCCCACGCCCCCAAGAUUCCCAUGUCCUCAUGUCCCCAAGUCCCCAAGGUUCCUAUGUCCCCAAAUCCCCAAUGUCCCCAUGUCCCCAAGGUCCCCAUGUCCCCAAGGUCCCCAUGUCCUCAUGUCCCCAAGGUCCCCAAGGUCCCCAUGUCCCCAAGGCCCCCAUGUCCCCAAGGUCCCCAUGUCCCAAAGGUUCCCAUGUCUCCAAGGUCCCCAUGUCCUCAUGUCCCCAAGGUCCCCAAGUCCCCAAGGUCCCCAUGUCCUCAUGUCCCAAAGUCCGCAAGGUCCCCAUGUCCUCAUGUCCCAAAGGUCCCCAAGGUCCCCAUGUCCUCAUGUCCCCAAGGUCCCCAUGUCUCCAAGGUCUCCAUGUCCCCAAGGUCCCCAUGUACUCAUGUCCCCAAGUCCCCAGGGUCCCCAUGUC